GACGAACGCUGGCGGCACGCUUAACACAUGCAAGUCGAACGAGAGAAGAGAAGCUUGCUUUUCUGAUCUAGUGGCGGACGGGUGAGUAACACGUGAGCAAUCUGCCUUUCAGAGGGGGAUACCGAUUGGAAACGAUCGUUAAUACCGCAUAACAUAAUUGAACCGCAUGAUUUGAUUAUCAAAGAUUUAUCGCUGAAAGAUGAGCUCGCGUCUGAUUAGCUAGUUGGUAAGGUAACGGCUUACCAAGGCGACGAUCAGUAGCCGGACUGAGAGGUUGAUCGGCCACAUUGGGACUGAGACACGGCCCAGACUCCUACGGGAGGCAGCAGUGGGGAAUAUUGCACAAUGGAGGAAACUCUGAUGCAGCGAUGCCGCGUGAGGGAAGAAGGUUUUAGGAUUGUAAACCUCUGUCU
rnacentral:rRNA from 1 species